rnacentral:misc_RNA from 1 species
UCCGGCUUAUCACCGGCAGUCCCUUUAGAGUGCCCAACUAAAUGAUGGCAAUUAACGACAAGGGUUGCACUCGUUGCGGGACUUAACCCAACAUCUCACGACACGAGCUGACGACAGCCAUGCAGCACCUGUGUUACGGUUCCCUUUCGGGCACCCUCCCAUCUCUGGGAGAUUCCGUACAUGUCAAGGGUAGGUAAGGUUUUUCGCGUUGCAUCGAAUUAAUCCACAUAAUCCACCGCUUGUGCGGGUCCCCGUCAAUUCCUUUGAGUUUUAGCCUUGCGGCCGUACUCCCCCGGCGGUCAACUUCACGCGUUAGCUUCGUUACCAAGGAAUUACUUCCCCGACAACCAGUUGACAUCGUUUAGGGCGUGGACUAC